CGCCCCUGCUACCUAGACACCGCCCAGGCCUCAGCACAAGGAGCUCCUAGAGUUGUGCUCUGGAGCACACAGGGAGUGAAAGCCCCCUGCGCUGGAUCCUAAGGCUGGGCACUUCUUGAACAGGCAAGGAAGGAAGAGAUCUUUCGGAACUACUGAUUCCUGCAGACUGAAGAGUACUGCUCCUCUUAUUGCCAGAGUCCUCAAACAGUUGCUCAACUUUGACCUGACUUCCACUCAGAGGAUGAUCUUUCAUACAUUCUACACUGCAAGAUCGCAUGAGAUACUAUCCUAUGCAAUGCUGAAGAAAGUCAGGACUAGUGCAGCAACAUCUGUUUUCCAUUCUGGCCUUUAAUCUCAAUAAAGAUGUGAGACAUGUGCCAAGCCCUGUCCCAGAAACUAAUAUAGCUGCUUAGCAAUCAAGCAAAAAUAUAAAUAAACCUGUAACUCCAGAGCAAUAACAUCCAAUUACUUUUUAGUUACAUACAAUCCACCAUCUCAACACAGUCAGUAAAUAGGAGCAAUGAUUAUGUUUGCCAAAAACAACUUCGCAAAUAUCCCCUGUCCUCUGUCCUGGGUAAGAGUCAAUUUGCUGGCUCUGCACUGAAAUGUUAGCGUAUACUUCAUGACAGGAGCCUGGAAAAUGCAGACUUCCUCUAGGAGCCUGUCUCAGAUCAGUAAUGAUUAGGCCUUUGGAAUCUCUCUUUUAUUCAGUGCUAUGUCAGCCCAGAAACGUGGACAAUAUGUUGUAAGAGACCCACCUUUCCAGGAACUCACUGAAAACAUACAAUAAACACUUUAUUCUUUCAGCCUGUAGCUGAACUGCGAGAUAAGAGUGAGAGAUAGUAUAAGAUCCUGAAUGAAAGGCAAAUAGAAUGAAGGGCAAAUAGAUCAAAAUGGUAAAUUUGCAAAUGAACAGAGAAUCCAGACUUGGAAAAAGGUUCAGUUUUGUUUUGGGGUUUUGUUUUGUUUUUGUUAAGAUGUCUGAAAAACUGCUCUCCUACCUCCAUAGCAGAAAUCUUGUGUGUGACCAUGUCUUUUUUACUUUGACUGCAAUCAGAAUUUGAUUAAGCACAUGGCCCUAGUCCUUGAAAAGUCUACCUGUACUAUAAGAAAGGAUAUUCUUUGUACAAGAACUCUGUGUUAUUUAAAUUAACUCACCAUGCAGGCAGGAAGGAUUUUAAAGGGCCAGGACUGUAUGUGCUAUAGUGAACUUCACUAAAUUUCAUCCUCUAUCAGGUAAUACCUAUGUAUCUAGCUUUAUGAGGUUCCUGCAAAGUUCCUCAGUCUUCUUUAGACUUUACAAAUAAUUGUGCGCCAUUUGAAAGUUUUGAUGCCUCUCCCUUUUCUACAUCAUUAAUCCUAAAUAAAUGGUCCUAGAGAAAUGAUUACGCAAGAGAAUUAGAACUUCAGGUGAGGAAUAAGCAGCAGGAACAGAUGAAUUACCCAUAACAGCAAGGGAAGAAAAGCCACUGAAGGAGCACUUCUGACCAUAUCCUUUUAACAGAAGGUUUUCAGAGCUUUCACUCAGCUAGUUAAUGGUCCAUUGCAGAAUACUUAUUUCAGGUGUUUGAAACACUUUAUUGGAAAGGUAUUUAAGCCCACUGAACUUGACUUGAUUUUUAAAGGUGAAGUCAAUUUGAGUAUAUGAUAUUAUAUAUUUUACAUACACACAAAACUGCUUAAAAAAAGUUCAGUAUUUUGUUUCCAGCAUGACCUCCAUUUGACACUCCUCCCACCAGGAUGUAAAAGGAGGUUGGGCUGAAAAGCAAAACACUGAACUUUCUCUAAAUUCAAAAAACAUUUUUAAAAAGUAGCCAGAUUGGUGGUUAACUCUUUAGUGGCAUGUUGGGAACAGCUCAAAAAUCAAAGCAUUUCACAGAGCCUGACCCACUGCUGCUCGCAUCCCUGCAUUACUCGGGAUUCCUUCCUGUGCUUGCCUGCAUGCCCUGCAGUCCACUCACAAACUACUUUGCCAGUUUCUAUGCAUUUUUUGUUCUCUUUCAUGCCCUGCCCCCUUCCCAAAAUUCAUACCUGGAAAACAAUUCAGGAAUGAAGGUGUUAAGGCAGAGUUUCCCCAUUUAAAAUAGGCUAAUGAACCCUUUAACUUACAUUUAAAUCUCACAUUGAUAACACUGCCCUGCAGGUAUCUUAUGUUCCUAUACUAGACAAACUCAUCAAGAUGCCCUAGAAUAUAAAGAGUCAACUUUGCUUUGUUGUCCUGUAACCCAGAGCUGUUCACGAGACAUCCUAGAAUACAAACAGGGCCUUAGAGCACCACACACACUUCUGUCACAUGCUACUAGCUUCAACUUAGUGUAUUAAAAAAUUGUAGUAUUUGAUCAAAAGUUAUAACUGCAGAAUAAUGGCUGUUAAAGGCCCGUCAGAUAUCUGUGCUGAUUCAAUGAAUCUCCAUGGCAGCCUCAAUUUGCACGGUUCCUCUGGAAAUAGGUAUAGAGGGAGCAAAUUGUAUCCCUCUGUACCCAGGUGGGUGAAUAAAGCUCUAAGGCUUCAGAAAGAUAAAA